rnacentral:lncRNA from 1 species
CCGAGAGACAGCUGAGAGAGAUGGUCGCUAGGCAUACACAAAGGAGCAAGAGAAAGCAUCUGCCAUAGAAGGCCUUUCCGUCUAUUUAGGGUUGGAGGGCGCAGGACGUUUUCCUAAAAUGACAACAAUAGAAACGAGCACCAUCUCGGUUUCCCUUUGAUUUCGGGAGCUGGCUGUGAUUGAGACCGGGGCCACAGGCGAUCCAAUCAAAAGGGAAGUGAGCUUCCCUCCGGUGGGUCUGCGGAUAAGAAAAGAAUGCUAAUGAGGUGAAGACGACGCUGAGAAAGGCAGCGAAGAGUUGCCUCUGAAGUAUUGCCUAGUCUCAUCCAUCCUCUCUCUGCUAAGACACUGUUCGGUUACUGGCGUUCUG